rnacentral:rRNA from 1 species
UACGUAGGGGGCAAGCGUUAUCCGGAUUUACUGGGUGUAAAGGGGGCGCAGACGGCGAUGCAAGCCAGGAGUGAAAGCCCGGGGCUCAACCCCGGGACUGCAUUUGGAACUGUAUGGCUGGAGUGUCGGAGAGGCAGGCGGAAUUCCUAGUGUAGCGGUGAAAUGCGUAGAUAUUAGGAGGAACACCAGUGGCGAAGGCGGCCUGCUGGACGAUGACUGACGUUGAGGCUCGAAAGCGUGGGGAGCAAACAGG